rnacentral:rRNA from 1 species
UACAGAGGGGGCGAGCGUUGUUCGGAAUUACUGGGCGUAAAGGGCGCGUAGGCGGCCCGCUAAGUCGAACGUGAAAUCCCCAGGCUCAACCUGGGAACUGCGUCCGAUACUGGCAGGCUUGAAUCCGGGAGAGGGAUGUGGAAUUCCAGGUGUAGCGGUGAAAUGCGUAGAUAUCGGGAGGAACACCAGUGGCGAAGGCGGCCUUCUGGACCAAUACUGACGCUCAUGCACGAAAGCGUGGGGAGCAAACAGG